rnacentral:rRNA from 1 species
GAGCGAACAGACGAGGAGCUUGCUCCUCUGACGUUAGCGGCGGACGGGUGAGUAACACGUGGAUAACCUACCUAUAAGACUGGGAUAACUUCGGGAAACCGGAGCUAAUACCGGAUAAUAUAUUGAACCGCAUGGUUCAAUAGCGAAAGACGGUUUUGCUGUCACUUAUAGAUGGAUCCGCGCCGCAUUAGCUAGUUGGUAAGGUAACGGCUUACCAAGGCAACGAUGCGUAGCCGACCUGAGAGGGUGAUCGGCCACACUGGAACUGAGACACGGUCCAGACUCCUACGGGAGGCAGCAGUAGGGAAUCUUCCGCAAUGGGCGAAAGCCUGACGGAGCAACGCCGCGUGAGUGAUGAAGGUCUUCGAAUCGUAAAACUCUGUUAUUAGGGAAGAACAAAUGUGUAAGUAACUAUGCACGUCUUGACGGUACCUAAUCAGAAAGCCACGGCUAACUACGUGCCAGCAGCCGCGGUAAUACGUAGGUGGCAAGCGUUAUCCGGAAUUAUUGGGCGUAAAGCGCGCGUAGGCGGUUUUUUAAGUCUGAUGUGAAAGCCCACGGCUCAACCGUGGAGGGUCAUUGGAAACUGGAAAACUUGAGUGCAGAAGAGGAAAGUGGAAUUCCAUGUGUAGCGGUGAAAUGCGCAGAGAUAUGGAGGAACACCAGUGGCGAAGGCGACUUUCUGGUCUGUAACUGACGCUGAUGUGCGAAAGCG